rnacentral:rRNA from 1 species
AUUGAACGCUGGCGGCAGGCCUAACACAUGCAAGUCGAACGAGUGGCGGACGGGUGAGUAAUGUCUGGGAAACUGCCCGAUGGAGGGGGAUAACUACUGGAAACGGUAGCUAAUACCGCAUACCAUCGGAUGUGCCCAGGUGGGAUUAGCUAGUAGGUGGGGUAAUGGCUCACCUAGGCGACGAUCCCUAGCUGGUCUGAGUGGAUGACCAGCCACCCUGAAACUGGGACACGUGCCAGACUCCUACUGGAGGCAGCAGGGGGGAAUAUUGCAAAAUGGGCGCAAGCCUGAUGCAGCCAGGCCGCGUGUAUGGAGAAGGCAUUCGGGUUGGAAAGUACUUUCAGCGAGGAGGCGUUACUCGCAGAAGAAGCACCGGCUAACUCCGUGCCAGCAGCCGCGGUAAUAC